rnacentral:rRNA from 1 species
UACAGAGGGUGCGAGCGUUAAUCGGAAUUACUGGGCGUAAAGCGCGCGUAGGCGGCUUUGCAAGUCGGGCGUGAAAUCCCCAGGCUUAACCUGGGAACUGCAUUCGAGACUGCAUUGCUAGAGUAUGGGAGAGGGAAGUGGAAUUUCCGGUGUAGCGGUGAAAUGCGUAGAUAUCUGGAGGAACACCGGUGGCGAAGGCGGCAUCCUGGACCAACACUGACGCUGAUGAGCGAAAGCCAGGGGAGCAAACGGG